ACCCCCACCCCCACCCUGCCACAGCUUCGGGACGACUGGAUCGCCGCGCCUGGGCCGGAGCGAGCCAUCUGCGGGCACUAUGCAAAGCGGGAGACGGCGCGAGCGGCGCCCGGCUCACACUAGCUCUUCCAGGACGCAGGUGUUCUAACCGGGAUGUGACAGUUGAGGCUGGGAGCAGAAAUAAUCAACAUGCCCAUUAGAUACAGGACGGAAUAAUGCUUCUAUUGGUUGGGUCCCUUCGAGAUCCUAAACAAACCAAUUCUGAGAAUUACAACCAGAUUCAGUUGAGAGGCAAAAGUGGACGUGGAUUUUGGAAAAGGGUGCCUAAGGACUUCCAGGUCAGCCACCCACCGCUACCACCACCACCACCGCCACCACUACCACCAUCACUAUCAGCACCCUGAAGAAGGGAAGAGAGGAAAACCAACCCCAGGGUGCAGGCCUGCCUGCUGCAAGCUUUCUAGAGGCAAAACUGACUGACGGCCUCUCACUCUCAUCUCCUGUGCUCAGUGUGACGCCAAGCCCAACCUGGAUUUGUUCUGAAUGGGGGGGAAGUGAAAUGCCACAAGAUCAGUAGCAAGUAGCAGCUGCAGCGUUUUCUCUCCUGGGAACCCCACUGCUUAGAAGCCUCCUGAGUGAUGUUUGUUUAACCAACAGCUUUCAAAGUAAACAGAAGCCAAUCACUCCAAAGAAGUUGAAAUAUAACCCUUACAAGAAUUUGGAUCCAGGGGUGCUGGCAGAAAGAAAGUAAUUUUUAAAAUGAUAAAGAACCCACUCCCAAAUAAGAGUCUGCCACAUUGCUUUAAGGAGCGCAGAAUUGUCAUGAAAAUAUAAUUUCAUCGAAAGGGCUAAUUACAAUAAGUUGACCUCGAAGAAAAUCACUCUUCGCCCACAAAGACACACCCGCGGGGAUGAGGAGGUUGUCAGUGAUUGAAGGGACACACUACUACUUGAUUUUAUGGAAGUGGGCGAAAACAAUCAAAGGGAAGUACAUUCCCUGCCCUGGAGUAGUGAAGUGUAGGCUGGGAGCUCUUCGCCGCCAACCCUGGCUUUGCCUCAGGCACCGAACUUUCCAAUACCAAGAUAUUAACAGAUGGUGGUGAGCACAUGGAGGGCUGCUACUUACAUAAUCUAGCCACUCCGCCCGGCUGCCCAGAGCCCGGCGAGGAACCGGCCAGGCCGCGCGCGCGCCUUCCGAGGGGUGCUCCCUGACAUAACUUGCCUUUCUCCAACCCCACCCAUCGUUUUGAGGGUUAGCAUUUGGAGAGGCCGUGAUUUAAAAAAACCAAACAAAAACAAAAACACCCAAAACAUUGAUUUGGCUGUGCUUUGUCUUCUUCAGUCCAUAGUAGCGAAGAAGCUGGAAACCCAAAGGCUGAGAGAAACGGAGGGGAUGCCUUCGGCGAGAAAGGGGUGCUCUCCCUACGUAUCUGGGGGUUCCCGCGAGUGGAAUUUACACAAUUUACAACACUCUUGCCCACCAUCUUUGGUUCAAAUCCACAUAUCUUUUGCUGUCGCUUAAGUACAAAGGCAGUCUCGGGCCGCAACUCAAGGGGAGUGAGAUGGGGUGAGGGUGUGAGUGUGAAGGGGACACCUUUGCACGCGGGGGCGCAGUGGGCAAAGUUACGCAAAGCCUCUGGGCACCGCUACACUUCCAAGCUGUGGCAGGGUUUUAAGCGCUCGAUCCCGCUCGCAGGGAGUCCCUUUCGGAUGUGUGGCCGCCUGCUGCCUUCACGCCCUCAGCCGCCUCCCAAGAGGCCCUGUCCCUCCUGGUGUGCCUGUGUACCUCCUCCAGUGUGCCAGGGCACGUGUGCUUCCCGAGCCUCCUCCCUGACUGCGACUCGGGACCGCCGAAUCCUGCGAGGAAUACGCCUGCGUGUGUUGGAAAAGUUUCGGGUUGGGCAGGAAGGCUGGGAAUCUCCUCUCCAGGCACUCGGCAGGAGCGGGGCUUCCUCGCCCGCGGCUUCCUCCCAGUGCCCUCCUCCCUCCCCGGCCCGCCCUUCCUAGCCUCGGCCCCGCGCUAGGUGUCGCGGC
rnacentral:lncRNA from 1 species